rnacentral:rRNA from 1 species
GGCCAAGUUUUUAAGGGCGCACGGUGGAUGCCUUGGCACCAGGAACCGAUGAAGGACGUGGGAGGCCACGAUAGUCCCCGGGGAGCUGUCAACCA